GUACCCGCUGAACUUAAGCAUAUCAAUAAGCGGAGGAAAAGAAACCAACAGGGAUUGCCUUAGUAACGGCGAGUGAAGCGGCAACAGCUCAAAUUUGAAAUCUGGCCCCUAGGGUCCGAGUUGUACUUUGUAGAGGAUGUUUUUGGCACGGUGCCUUCCGAGUUCCCUGGAACGGGACGCCACAGAGGGUGAGAGCCCCGUAUGGUUGGACACUACGCCUUUGUAAAGCUCCUUCAACGAGUCGAGUAGUUUGGGAAUGCUGCUCUAAAUGGGAGGUAAAUCUCUUCUAAAGCUAAAUACUGGCCAGAGACCGAUAGCGCACAAGUAGAGUGAUCGAAAGAUGAAAAGCACCUUGAAAAGGGGGUUAAACAGUACGUGAAAUUGUUGAAAGGGAAGCACUUGUCCCCAGACGUGUGCCGGCGGUUCCGCAGGGGCUUGCCCCUGUCUAUGCCGUUGUGUACAGGCCAGCAUCUGUUUUCGCCGGGGGAGAAGAACGGGCGGAACGUGGCUCUUUCGAGAGUGUUAUAGCCUUCCGUACGAUGCCCUGGCGGGGACAGAGGUCCGCGCAUUGCUAAGAUGCUGGCGUAAUGGGGACCAGUGACCCGUCUUGAAACACAGACCAAGGAGUCGUCCAGUAGAGCGAGCGUUGGGGUGCCAAACCCAGGACGCGUAAUGAAAGUGAAAUAGGUGAGAGCUCCGGCGCAUCAUCGACCGAAUCCUGAUGUCCUCGGAUGGAUUNUGAAGUACAAAGUNUAACCAGGACGGGACCCCGACACGACCAGUGAACUAUUGCCUUGUAUAUGGGGUGAAGCCC
rnacentral:rRNA from 1 species